CCUACGGGUGACAGCAGUGAGGAAUAUUGGUCAAUGGACGCGAGUCUGAACCAGCCAAGCAGCGUGAAGGAUGACUGCCCUAUGGGUUGUAACCUUCUUUUAUAUGGGAAUAAAAUGUUACACGUGCGGGAUUUUGUAUGUACCAUAUGAACAAGGAUCGGCUAACUCCGUGCCAGCAGUCGCGGUAAUACGGCGGGUGCAAGCGUUGUCCGGAAUCAUUGGGCGGAAGGGGGUCGUAGGCGGAAGGUAAAGUCAGGUGUUAAAAGCGCAGGCUCAACCUGUGUAUGGCACUUGAUACUGGCAAGCUUGAAUGCGGGAGAGGUAGAGGGAAUUCCUGGUGUAGCGGUGAAAUGCUUAGAUAUCAGGAGGAACAUCGGUGGCGUAGGCGCUUUACUGGACCGUAAUUGACGCUGAGGAACGAAAGCCAGGGUAGCAAAUGGGAUUAGAUACCCGAGUAGUC
rnacentral:rRNA from 1 species